AGGAACUGUAAAAAAAUACAAUCACUCAGCUGACGGGCAGGCUCCUUAUCGUGGGUACACGAGAGGGACCACAGGAAAGGGCUCUGCAGCUGGAUUUCUGACUCUUCUACUGAUCUCUGAAAUCCUGGGGCACCACCUCUCACCUUCAUGGAGACAGAUGAACCUUCAGACAGGGGUGUCUUCAGGGGAGGUGCAGCCCGGCAGCUUUCCCUCCCCACUGAUGGAAGAGACGGGAAAGAGCAAUGUAGACCAUGACGCCAACCACAGAUUGGGCAGGGAGAUCCUGGAAGACAGCCUGGAGGAAGAGGUCAAAAACUGUGCUAUAAAGGGGGCUAACAACUCAGAAGGACAAUAUCAGCAGCACAUCUUUCCAUUCCUAAGUACAAAUCCUCAUCACACAUGGGAUCGGGUGUUUGUGAGUAUACACAUGCAUGCACACCCUGUAACAGGGCCCAGAGCCCUCCAUCAGUUCCCAACCUGCAGCCUCUCCCUGAGCAGACUUUGUGAUUUGUGGUGCAGGCCACCCAGGGACUUUAAUCUUCACCGUGACAAAUGCAAUAAAAGGAACAAUUUGGAGAUCACAGCUAAGGAAGACACAUUUACAAACCCUUCCCCAAAGGUUGGAUGUGGCUGUCACCAUGUGAUUUGUGCUGGAGAUGAAGCAGGGAGGGGGAGAGGGGGAGAGAGAGCUGGAGAAGGAGGGCUGGGGAAAAGGAAGCAUCCCCAGCUCUCUCCUCCUCACCCUCUCUGCUGGAUCACAGUGGAAGGGGCUAAGCUAGCAGAAGGAUGACUGGACCCACCGGCAGCCACUGCCACCCUCCCCCAUCAUGACUAGGGAG